CCUAGAACUGCGCAGUCUUCAGCUGAGACUAAGUUCCCUGAAAGAGAAGCAAAACGAGGUUACUGAAUUUUAAGAUUCUACAGUAAACGUGUUGGAAGACAGCAAUGGACAAGUUUUUGAUUGCUCUCGGCUGUGCACCAAAAGGUUUCACCACUGUCAAAGGCUAUAACGAGAAAUUAACGGAAGAAGCAAAACUCGGAGACCUGUUCCUGGUGAAAGAAGCUAACAGUAGCGAUGGAUCCAGUCUAGGAUACUACCAGGCUGGCGUUUACUGCAGUGAAGACCGGGAUAUCAUUCUCUUUACAUGUAAAUCUCUAAAUAUCCAUGUAAUGAACUCUUCA